rnacentral:misc_RNA from 1 species
UCCGGUUUGUCACCGGCAGUCUCACUAGAGUGCCCGUUUCCGUAGCAACUAGUGACAAGGGUUGCGCUCGUUGCGGGACUUAACCCAACAUCUCACGACACGAACUGACGACAGCCAUGCAGCACCUGUGUUCCGAUUCCCUUUCGGGCACACCCACCUCUCAGCGGGCUUCCGGACAUGUCAAGGGUAGGUAAGGUUGUUCGCGUUGCAUCGAAUUAAUCCACAUCAUCCACCGCUUGUGCGGGUCCCCGUCAAUUCCUUUGAGUUUUAACCUUGUGGCCGUACUCCCCAGGCGGACAACUUCACGCGUUAGCUACGGUACUGAGAAAUCGCUUCCCCAACACCCAGCACCCAUCGUUUACGGCGUGGACUAC